CAGUCGCCGCGGUAAUACAGAGGAUGCAAGCGUUAUCCGGAAUGAUUGGGCGUAAAGCGCACGUAGGCGGUUAUUCAAGUCAGAGGUGAAAGCCCGGGGCUCAACCCCGGAACUGCCUUUGAAACUAGAUGACUAGAAUCUUGGAGAGGUCAGUGGAAUUCCGAGUGUAGAGGUGAAAUUCGUAGAUAUUCGGAAGAACACCAGUGGCGAAGGCGACUGACUGGACAAGUAUUGACGCUGAGGUGCGAAAGCGCGGGGAGCAAACAAGAUUAGAGACCCCUGUAGUCCCUGUCUCUUAUAC
rnacentral:rRNA from 1 species